rnacentral:misc_RNA from 1 species
UCCGUGUUCACCACGGCAGUCUCUUUAGAGUGCCCAACUGAAUGCUGGCAACUAAAGACAAGGGUUGCGCUCGUUGCGGGACUUAACCCAACAUGUCACCACACGAGCUGACGACAGCCAUGCAGCACCUGUCUCUCUGCUGUAUUGCUACAGAAGCUCGAUCUCUCGAGUUGUCAGAGGAUGUCAAACCCAGGUAAGGUUCUUCGCGUUGCUUCGAAUUAAACCACAUGAUCCACCGCUUGUGCGGGCCCCCGUCAAUUCCUUUGAGUUUUAGUCUUGCGACCGUACUUCCCAGGCGGGGUACUUAGUGCGUUAGCUCCGGUUCAGCAGGGGUCAAGACCCACCAAACCUAGUACCCAUCGUUUACGGCGUGGACUAC